rnacentral:rRNA from 1 species
AUACAGAGAUGGCAACCGUUGUUCGGAAUUACUGGGCUUAAAGAGCACGUAGGCGGGAAUAUAAGUUGAUUGUGAAAUCCCAUGGCUUACCCAUGGAAUAGCAGUCAAAACUGUGUUUCUUGAGAGCGGAAGGGGAGAGUGGAACUCCUGGUGGAGCGGUGAAAUGCGUUGAUAUCAGGAGGAACGCCGGAGGCGAAAGCGACUCUCUGGUCCGCGACUGACGCUGAGGUGCGAAAGCUAGGGGAGCAAACGGGAUUAGAAACCCCAGUAGUCC